UGGUUUUCCAGGCAAAUCCGGAAAAUCAAGGCUGAGGCGUGACGACGAGGCACUACGGUGCUGAAGCAACAAAUGCCCUGCUUCCAGGAAAAGCCUCUAAGCAUCAGGUAACAUCAAAUCGUACCCCAAACCGACACAGGUGGUCAGGUAGAGAAUACCAAGGCGCUUGAGAGAACUCGGGUGAAGGAACUAGGCAAAAUGGUGCCGUAACUUCGGGAGAAGGCACGCUGACACGUAGGUGAAGUGAUUUACUCAUGGAGCUGAAGUCAGUCGAAGAUACCAGCUGGCUGCAACUGUUUAUUAAAAACACAGCACUGUGCAAACACGAAAGUGGACGUAUACGGUGUGACGCCUGCCCGGUGCCGGAAGGUUAAUUGAUGGGGUCAGCGCAAGCGAAGCUCCUGAUCGAAGCCCCGGUAAACGGCGGCCGUAACUAUAACGGUCCUAAGGUAGCGAAAUUCCUUGUCGGGUAAGUUCCGACCUGCACGAAUGGCGUAAUGAUGGCCAGGCUGUCUCCACCCGAGACUCAGUGAAAUUGAACUCGCUGUGAAGAUGCAGUGUACCCGCGGCAAGACGGAAAGACCCCGUGAACCUUUACUAUAGCUUGACACUGAACAUUGAGCCUUGAUGUGUAGGAUAGGUGGGAGGCUUUGAAGUGUGGACGCCAGUCUGCAUGGAGCCGGCCUUGAAAUACCACCCUUUAAUGUUUGAUGUUCUAACGUGGACCCGUGAUCCGGGUUGCGGACAGUGUCUGGUGGGUAGUUUGACUGGGGCGGUCUCCUCCUAAAGAGUAACGGAGGAGCACGAAGGUUGGCUAAUCCUGGUCGGACAUCAGGAGGUUAGUGCAAUGGCAUAAGCCAGCUUGACUGCGAGCGUGACGGCGCGAGCAGGUGCGAAAGCAGGUCAUAGUGAUCCGGUGGUUCUGAAUGGAAGGGCCAUCGCUCAACGGAUAAAAGGUACUCCGGGGAUAACAGGCUGAUACCGCCCAAGAGUUCAUAUCGACGGCGGUGUUUGGCACCUCGAUGUCGGCUCAUCACAUCCUGGGGCUGAAGUAGGUCCCAAGGGUAUGGCUGUUCGCCAUUUAAAGUGGUACGCGAGCUGGGUUUAGAACGUCGUGAGACAGUUCGGUCCCUAUCUGCCGUGGGCGCUGGAGAACUGAGGGGGGCUGCUCCUAGUACGAGAGGACCGGAGUGGACGCAUCACUGGUGUUCGGGUUGUCAUGCCAAUGGCACUGCCCGGUAGCUAAAUGCGGAAGAGAUAAGUGCUGAAAGCAUCUAAGCACGAAACUUGCCCCGAGAUGAGUUCUCCCUGAGACUUUAGGUCUCCUGAAGGAACGUUGAAGACGACGACGUUGAUAGGCCGGGUGUGUAAGCGCAGCGAUGCGUUGAGCUAACCGGUACUAAUGAACCGUGAGGCUUAACCUU
rnacentral:rRNA from 1 species